GUAUAUAUAGUUUAAUUAAAACACUAGACUGUGAUUCUAGAAAUGAGAGUGAAAAACUCCCUAUAAACU
rnacentral:tRNA from 1 species